CUCUGCAGGUUAUAAUCUGAGUCCUCAGGCCAUGAAAAGCAUCAUGUGGCGCUACAGCACAAACAGCAGAAUCACCUUUGAUGAUUUCAUGAGCUGUUGUGUAAGACUCAGAGCGCUGACCGACCAGUUCCGAAGGAGAGACACAACUCAAACUGGCAAUGCCACAUUUCAGUAUGAUGACUUUAUCCAGGUCACCAUGAGCACAUGAAGAGGAAACAGAGGGGACACACCAGCCUUUUAUACU